GGAAUAUUGCGCAAUGGGCGAAAGCCUGACGCAGCAACGCCGCGUGAGGGAUGAAGGCCUUCGGGUUGUAAACCUCUUUUAGCAGGGAAGAAGCGAAAGUGACGGUACCUGCAGAAAAAGCACCGGCUAACUACGUGCCAGCAGCCGCGGUAAUACGUAGGGUGCAAGCGUUAUCCGGAAUUAUUGGGCGUAAAGAGCUCGUAGGCGGUUUGUCGCGUCUGCUGUGAAAAUCUGAGGCUCAACCUCGGACUUGCAGUGGGUACGGGCAGAACUAGAGUGCGGUAGGGGAGAAGGGAAUUCCUGGUGUAGCGGUGGAAUGCGCAGAUAUCAGGAGGAACACCAAUGGCGAAGGCACUUUCUUCUGGGCCGCUACUGACGCUGAGGAGCGAAAGCGUGGGGAGCGAACAGGAUUAGAUACCC
rnacentral:rRNA from 1 species